GACCUGUUGUCCAGGUUGAGUGUGG
rnacentral:piRNA from 1 species